rnacentral:lncRNA from 9 species
GGCACAGCUUGAACAGCACAGAGCUCCUUCCUCAUCCAAAAUUUAUAACACAAUCAAUCCAUUCAGUGUGCUUCCCCAAUGGGAAGAGACUUUUAGAGUGUGUCAGUGCUGAUGAGAAAGAUCCAGUGUAGAGAAAGAGAGAUGGAAGGCAGGAGAGAAAGCGGAUGAUCCAGGGAGAGACAUUCGUGAAGGGGUUUGGCCCUGAGCGAAAGGCACUUGGAAUCGACCUGGGGGGCUCCGAGGUCCCAUGUGAAACUGAGAAGGGAAACAGAAGUCAGGUGACACGAGAUGCAGCGGGCUCUGACACCGAAAGGCCACCGGACCUGAAUGUUCUAGUCUGGCUGUUUUACUAAAUGGUUGGAAAAUCAUGAGAGUGGAGACUGUUGAGGAGCCUCGGCUCUCGGCGUCUGUAAGUUUUGCUGACUGAGCGCCCUGCUGUGGGUCAGACGGUCAGCAGGCGGGGGUUCCACGGGG